AGUGAACGCUGGCGGUAGGCCUAACACAUGCAAGUCGAACGGCAGCACAGGAGAGCUUGCUCUCUGGGUGGCGAGUGGCGGACGGGUGAGGAAUACAUCGGAAUCUACUCUGUCGUGGGGGAUAACGUAGGGAAACUUACGCUAAUACCGCAUACGACCUACGGGUGAGAGCAGGGGACCUUCGGGCCUUGCGCGAUUGAAUGAGCCGAUGUCGGAUUAGCUAGUUGGCGGGGUAAAGGCCCACCAAGGCGACGAUCCGUAGCUGGUCUGAGAGGAUGAUCAGCCACACUGGAACUGAGACACGGUCCAGACUCCUACGGGAGGCAGCAGUGGGGAAUAUUGGACAAUAGGCGAAAGCCUGAUCCAGCCAUACCGCGUGGGUGAAGAAGGCCUUCGGGUUGUAAAGCCCUUUUGUUGGGAAAGAAAUCCAGCUGGCUAAUACCCGGUUGGGAUGACGGUACCCAAAGAAUAAGCACCGGCUAACUUCGUGCCAGCCGCCGCCGUAA
rnacentral:rRNA from 1 species